AUGAAAACAAGCUUGUUUUUCAGGCACAGUUGGGAAAGUAGAAAAAUGAAAAAAAACUCUCUGACUUAGGAGAAAGGAAAAGAAAGAGAGAAAGAAAGGAAGGAAGGAAGGAAGGAAGGAAGGAAGGAAGGAAGCCCUAAGGAAGGAAGGAAGAAAGAAAGAAGAAAGAAAGAAAGACUGUAAGAAAGAAAGAAAGAAAGAAAGAAAGAAAGAAAGAAAGAAAGAAAGAAAGAAAGAAAGAAAGAAAGAAAGAAAGAAAGAAAGAAAGAAAGAAAGAAAGAAAGAAAGAAAGAAAGAAAGAAAGAAAGAAAGAAAGAAAGAAAGAGAGAGAGAAAUUUGCCAUCUCCCCUUUCCAGUCUUGCUGUUCAAGACUUCUGGCCAAGCUUCCCUCUGUGUCUUGGGAGAGAGAAGGAUGAAGAUUCCAGCCCUCCUUGCUUUUUCCUUCCUGAGAGGUGGCUCUGGAAGCAGCUUGCUGAGCUUUUCGGCAUCUUGGUGUGGAAGAAGAUAUUGUCUGGGUUUGGCAGUGAGUUUUCCUUGAUACUAUACUGGGAGAAGCUUAGUAGCCUAGUUCAGGUGAGGCAUCUUCACUGAGCUCUCUGAGUUUAGGCUGAUUGUUUUCUCCUUUACCUUCCAAACACUAUUCUCUUAGGAAAGCCUCUAAUCUUCUUCAAAGACUUCAUGGUGGAGGUCUUUGAACUCCCCCUGGCAAAGGCCAGGCGGGAGAAAUCCUAUACUCUCUCUCUCUCUCUCUCUCUCUCUCUCUCUCUCUCUCUCUCUCUCUCUCUCUCUCUCUCUCUCUCUCUCCUUAAUUCCUUCCCUCUAUAUUAAUUAAAAUCACCAUAAAUUUCCAUACUGCCUUGGGUAUUUUAUUUGGGAUUUUCUCUGGUGACCAAAUUAAUUUAGAUUAAGUCACAAUCCUAAAAUUACCCUUACACUAUUUGAGUUUGACAUCAUUCAUUCAGAUGAUGUGAAUGGUCUUUUCCAGCACCAAAAUGAUAUGAUGCAAAGGCAUCAAAAAUUCAAUCAAUCAACCAAUCAACAUUUAUUAUUAAGCAUCUAUUAUAUACCAAGCUAGUGAUAGAAAGACAAAAACAAAAGAGUCCUUGUUCUCAAAGAGCUUAUAUUCUACAUGAGAGAAGCGUGGGUACACAUAGAAGCAAAAACAGGC
rnacentral:lncRNA from 1 species